GGAAGGACAGCAAUGGGUUUGUUACCCGCCUAUCUCUCUGUUUUGAAAACACAUCCAUUGGGGGCAGAUGAAACAUAGUUUGUGGUCUGUGCGUGCGCACAGUGUUGAUUUACCAGGACUGCACGAGUUAAAUUAUGAGGCUUUUUAAUUCCUGCAGGUUAGAAGGUCAUCGGGUGAUUUGAUGAAAGCUUUCAAUAUAUAAUGAGAAACAGGCUGGGUAGAUAGAGAGAAACUAUUCCAGCUGUUUGGGAAGUUGAGGGCUUAGGAUUGAAAAGUUAAGGUACAGCCUCUGAAGGAAAGAAAUGUGUACGAAAAAUGAGUGACGAUUUUGCAAAGGGAACAUUCCUCACUGUAACAAAGGAUUAACACCUAGUAUGCUGCCCAAUCUCCAGCAUUCUCUGUUUUCAUCCCAGGACUUUCUAGACUUUGCAGUAGUUUUAAACCACAUUUUAUGAGGCGGUUGUUGCUGUUAUGCAGAGAAAGGGAGACACUCACCUUCUGAAGAUGGUGUACUCUUUACAUCAGAAGCAUCUGAAACAGGCUCAUCUGAGACAGGGGAAGAAUCUGAAAGUGAAUAUGUGUACAAGGUUACAUUAUGCUGGAAGCAUCAGAGCCUUCUAAGUGCUCACACAAACUAAAUAUCAUCGAAAAUACCAGAGAAAUGUGUCACUCAUCUGGCUCAGUUUUUAAAUUCAUAAUAGGUCUUUCAGAUGAAACUAACUUGAUCGCUAAUUCAGAUGAAUACAAUUAAUUCUAGAGUGCUAAUCCAUAUCAGUACAAUUAACUCUAAAGCACUAAUCCAGAUGUACAAUGAAAUCUAGAGCACUACUCCAGAUUGGUAUAAUUUACUGUAAAAUUAUAGCACUAAUCCAAAUCAAUAGAAUGAUCACUGCGACAUUCAU